UCCCCUGUAGCUCAAUUGGUAGAGCGAGCGGCUGUUAACCGCUAGGUUCAAGGUUCGAGUCCUUGCGGGGGAGC
rnacentral:tRNA from 1 species